UAGGGAAUCUUCGGCAAUGGGGGCAACCCUGACCGAGCAACGCCGCGUGAGUGAAGAAGGUUUUCGGAUCGUAAAGCUCUGUUGUAAGUCAAGAACGGGUGUGAGAGUGGAAAGUUCACACUGUGACGGUAGCUUACCAGAAAGGGACGGCUAACUACGUGCCAGCAGCCGCGGUAAUACGUAGGUCCCGAGCGUUGUCCGGAUUUAUUGGGCGUAAAGCGAGCGCAGGCGGUUUGAUAAGUCUGAAGUUAAAGGCUGUGGCUCAACCAUAGUUCGCUUUGGAAACUGUCAAACUUGAGUGCAGAAGGGGAGAGUGGAAUUCCAUGUGUAGCGGUGAAAUGCGUAGAUAUAUGGAGGAACACCGGUGGCGAAAGCGGCUCUCUGGUCUGUAACUGACGCUGAGGCUCGAAAGCGUGGGGAGCGAACAGGAUUAGAUACCCUGGUAGUCCACGCCGUAAACGAUGAGUGCUAGGUGUUGGAUCCUUUCCGGGCAUUCAGUGCCGCAGCUAACGCAUUAAGCACUCCGCCUGGGGAGUACGACCGCAAGG
rnacentral:rRNA from 1 species